rnacentral:tRNA from 1 species
AAGAAAGAGUGUCGUAAAAGAGAGUUACUUCGCCUACCACGCCGAAGGUUGCAGGUUCGAAUCCUGUCUUUC